rnacentral:rRNA from 1 species
GACAGAGGGGGCAAGCGUUGCUCGGAAUCACUGGGCGUAAAGGGUGCGUAGGCGGGUCUUUAAGUCAGGGGUGAAAUCCUGGAGCUCAACUCCAGAACUGCCUUUGAUACUGAAGAUCUUGAGUUCGGGAGAGGUGAGUGGAACUGCGAGUGUAGAGGUGAAAUUCGUAGAUAUUCGCAAGAACACCAGUGGCGAAGGCGGCUCACUGGCCCGAUACUGACGCUGAGGCACGAAAGCGUGGGGAGCAAACAGG